rnacentral:rRNA from 1 species
CCCUUAGAUGUUCUGGGCCGCACGCGUGCUACACUGAGUGGAUCAGCGGGUCAGGUUGCGCGAAAGUGUUUCCUAAUCUUUAAAUCCGCUCGUGAUGGGGAUUGACGGUUGCAAUUUUCCGUCAUGAACGAGGAAUACCUUGUAAGCGCGGGUCAUCAUCCCGCGCUGAAUACGUCCCUGCCCUUUGUACACACCGCCCGUCGCUCCUACCGAUUGAGUGGUCCGGUGAGGCUUUGGGAUCUGAGCGGAAAGAGCGUUUCGCUGUUUCUGCCCGGAAAACUCAGUCGAACCUUAUCAUUUAGAGGAAGGAGAAGUCGUAAC